ensembl:lncRNA
UUGGCAAUAGGAGAACAGGCCCAGAGGCAGACAUGGGCCUGAAGCCUCAUCCCUGGGCACUGCUGGGAGCACUUCCCGUGCCAGCACAUCCUGCUUUCAUCCCCACCAGCCCCAAGAAAGGGCUGCUCUGGUGGCCCUGGUCACAGCCACACCUCACCUUGGGUGGGAUGCAGCCCUGCCAGCCAGGCCCAGCCUAUGGCAGCCACCCCAGGCACAUCUGAAGCUGCUGUAACAGUAGGACCUAUAGCUGCUGCCAAAGCCCCUCCAUCCCCCAAGGACAGGAGCCCUCAGCUCCCCUCCUACCCAGCAGUACCCACAGAGACAGGAUACCUACAACAUAAAGAGUGCUCUACACCAGAAAACAGGUGCUGCAUCAUGGCUGAGCUAUGGGCUUUAAUUGCCCUGAGCAGCCUUACCUGGGACCCCCAGCUCUAUACAAGAUCUAGCUCUUCCUUUCUUCCCUUUUCAAUCUGAGUUGAUUCCUGUGAGCUGGUCAGUAGGGUCUAAGCUGCCCUGCAGGGUGUUCCCACCAAUGUUGCCCCGUCCUGGGCACUACACCAUAGUGCUGAGCUCUGUAACAGUGCUGACAGCCCCUGGCAUCAUAAUAGCGUCAGGGCCUGCUGACAGCAUGCAGAGGAAGGAGCAGGAGAUAAGGCCUCCUGCUGUGCCUGGGCAGCAAUUUGUGAACAAGGAGAGCAGAAAGCAGCACUGCGGGCAGCAACCUCCAAAAUCCGAUCUCCGUCAAGAAAGCUUAAAAAGUUUAUGGCAAACAGUUGAGAAGCUGGAUGUGGAAAUAGUACUUCAACAUCAGACAUUUGCUGGCCUAUCCUGGAUCACUUCUGAGGGACACCUGUCCAACUUUGCCCACGGGCUGUGCACGCCUUGCUCCUGUCCCUUGCAGAGCUGCUGCCAUGGGCACGGAAUGCUGAGCUCAAUCCUCUUGGUGCUGAGCGUGGAAGUGGCACCUUUAAAGGCAGAGUACCGGUGUGUGCAUAAAACCAUCUCUUUUUUAUUACUCUCAUUUUGUUUUUCUUCCUGUUACUAAUCUCAUUAUGCUUAGGAGUGUAAAUUUAGGUUGGCACAAAUCUGUAUUGCUGAAAUAUUUUACCUUAAGUUCUUCGAAGCUCUCUCCAUCUGUGAGGAUAAUGCUAAGUAUUAAUUAACCAGCUAAUCCUAUGCAGUGCUUGCAAAACAUAAAACACCGUGUGGAAGCAGGUCCAAAGCGUGAUUCUGACCUCCUAACAGACUUCUUUGGGGAGAAUGAUUCAGGGUUUUCUCAUUGCACCGAGCGGUGCCAAGCCUGAUGUGAGCAGGUUUGCUGUGCUCGCACCAUGCGGUGCUGCCCUGCUCCACCCCCAUAUCUGCAUCAGCUCUGGGGGCAGUGGGCUCUGCCCUGGUGCCCUGUACCCACCCAGCUCCAUUUGCCAGUGAUGCGAGGGGUAUCGGUGCAAAAUCUGUUCAUUAGUGGAGUAAUUGAGCUUCUGAUUUCCAAUGACAGGCUGAGCCCAGAUCCGUGCUGACUUGUGUGCAACCAGCAUCCCUCAAAGAGGAGCUGUGGGGUUUGUGCGCUGUGUCAGGACGGGCAGGGGCAGAAAUCCAGUGUCUGCUUUUGUGGUGUCGAGCAAUAGGGGAAGUCUGCGUUUCUGUGCAGUGUUCUCUGCUGGGGAAAAACUCCAGAGCAGAGUGC